CCCGGCGCGGGUGGCACUGCCGGGUCGCGGACGUCGGGGUGUCCCCGUGUGUCCCCUCCCAGCGCCACCCUCGCCGUUCUCGCCCCGCAGUGGACUAUGGGCUGCCCCUGCCGCCGCCGCCACCGAAGCCCAAGAAGUACCCGGAUAAAGAGGAUGAGAUGGAGACGGACGAGGAGAAACUCAAGCCGGGGAAGCCCAAGAAAGGUGGCAGCAGCAAGGAGGAGGAGGAGGACCCCUGGGUGGAGGAGAAGGGCCGGGAUCGCAAAGGAAAACCCAAAAAACCAGGUGGGAAGAAGUGGGAGACGGAUGAGGACGAAUGGGCCCCUCCGGAGGAGAAGACGAAGUGUCCCCCCAUCGGGCUGGAGUCCCACCGCAUCGAAGACGACCAGCUCCUGGCCUCGUCCAUGCUGCGCCACGGCCUGGGCGCGCAACGCGGGCGCCUCAACAUGCAGGUAGGAGCCACCGCGGCCCCGGCGCAGUCCCGCGCCGGCACGGCCCCGCACCCACCGGCUG
rnacentral:lncRNA from 1 species